UACGUAGGGACCAAGCGUUGUUCGGAUUUACUGGGCGUAAAGGGCGCGUAGGCGGUGCGGUAAGUCACUUGUGAAAUCUCUGAGCUUAACUCAGAACGGCCAAGUGAUACUGCAGUACUAGAGUGCGGAAGGGGCAAUCGGAAUUCUUGGUGUAGCGGUGAAAUGCGUAGAUAUCAAGAGGAACACCUGAGGUGAAGACGGGUUGCUGGGCCGACACUGACGCUGAUGCGCGAAAGCUAGGGGAGCAAACGGG
rnacentral:rRNA from 1 species